UUUUAUAUCGCAAGCCCUUUUGACCAUUCAAUCCACCUUUAAGUUACCCACGGACCUCAAAUAAACAAUCACGUCGGGACGUACACAAUUUGUCAGCCACUUGUCAGGUGCAGUCUACCCAAUUUAAAUAUUCCUGCUCUCUCUCUCGCGCGCACCCGUCCAUCUUGGUGACUUGCGGGUUCCCCGUAAACAGUUACCGAAGCGCGCCUCUGCACUCGGCCAUCAGAAACUGUGAACGCGCUCGAAAAACGGCCUCAGACGCGUGCCUCUGCACCUAGAAGUUUGAGCCCCACGGCUUGCCCUCGGAGCACCUGUAGGCCACCAGAUACAGUAUUAGAAAACCGCCGGUAUAACUUUGUGCUGCUGCCGUGUUAAUCUAUGAAUCGUCACCAAAACAGAAACAAAUGGAGACAUCACAGUGGAGAGAGUAUGGAGGAUUGAUGGCAUGAUCUCGAAAGUGAAAGAUAAGCUGGACCUGUACUACUUUGGAAGAAUAUUUAAAUAUCUGUAAAUAACUGUGUAGUAACCGUAGCCUAUGCUUAAAAACACUGAAAGGAGUGUUUCUUUUUGUACAGUAUCAAGAGGAAUCCAGGGGCCAAAACUGUAGUAUGAAACAAAAUAUUUUGUACCAUAAAUUUCAAAUGCAUUCUCUUACAAAAGUAAAAUGUUCUGUUAAAAGCAUGAUGUUUAUUAAAUAGUUAUAUCUAUUUUACAAGUAUAUUUAUUGAAACAUGUUUAAAAUGUGUGACUAGAUUUUCACUAAACAAUAUAAUUUAUUACAUGAAAUACAUUAAAGUGACAGGCAAACGUGUGAUUGGUUCAACAUACUUUAAAAGAAGUUCACACUUAUAGAAUUAAUACUUUCAAAGUCAGGAUGUGUUGUGGCUCUUGGAUCUUCCCUUUCUGUCCCACUGAAACCUGACAUCAACAUUAAAAAAAACAAAAAACUCAUCACCACUUGCAGUUUGGGCUUGGAGCUCUUUGGUGUUCAGUUAAUCCUUUCUUCUGUGCUUUUGACCAAUACAUUAUAUUCUGUGCUUUUGACCAAUACACUAUAUUGAUAGCAGAUGGUUCAAUUGCAUGCCAAAACAUUCUGAAGACCCACUCAUAAGGAAAACGCAUGUAAAACUGAAAAUCCACAUCAGAUGCGCAAAAUCUGUUGAUCUGCAGUGGUGACAUUCUGACUUUCAUCAGUUCUUUUUCCAGUUUGCUCCAGCUCCUGUAUAUUAAUGGCAACAGCAUCUAGUGGACCU